rnacentral:rRNA from 1 species
AGCAGCCGCGGUAAUUCCAGCUCCAAUAGCGUAUAUUAAAGUUGUUGCAGUUAAAAAGCUCGUAGUUGAAUUUCGGGAUCAAUAUGUUGGUCGUGCCUUGGUACGUACUGGCAUUAUCGAUUCCUACCUUCUGAAGAACCUCGAUGUCAUUAAUUUGGUGUCUUGGGGAAUCAGGACUGUUACUUUGAAAAAAUUAGGGUGUUUAAAGCGGGCUCGCGCUUGAAUACAUUAGCAUGGAAUAAUGAAAUAGGACGUUUGAUUCUAUUUUGUUGGUUUCUAGGAUUGACGUAAUGAUUAAUAGGGAUAGUUGGGGGCAUUAGUAUUCAAUUGUCAGAGGUGAAAUUCUUGGAUUUAUUGAAGACUAACUACUGCGAAAGCAUUUGCCAAGGAUGUUUUCAUUAAUCAAGAACGAAAGUUAGGGGAUCGAAGACGAUCAGAUACCGUCGUAGU